CUACAGGAAGUGUUUGGUUGGAGUCGUUGCAGCUAAAGGUGGACUGAUAAAACUACAGGAAGUGUUUGGUUGGAGUCGUUGCAGCUAAAGGUGGACUGAUAAAACUACAGGAAGUGUUUGGUUGGAGUCGUUGCAGCUAAAGGUGGACUGAUAAAACUACAGGAAGUGUUUGGUUGGAGUCGUUGCAGCUAAAGGUGGACUGAUAAAACUACAGGAAGUGUUUGGUUGGAGUCGUUGCAGCUAAAGGUGGACUGAUAAAACUACAGGAAGUGUUUGGUUGGAGUCGUUGCAGCUAAAGGUGGACUGAUAAAACUACAGGAAGUGUUUGGUUGGAGUCGUUGCAGCUAAAGGUGGACUGAUAAAACUACAGGAAGUGUUUGGUUGGAGUCGUUGCAGCUAAAGGUGGACUGA